rnacentral:rRNA from 1 species
GACGGGACCCGCACAAGCAGCGGAGCGUGUGGUUUAAUCGUUGCUACACGAAGAACCUUACCUGGGUUUGACAUAUAAGUUGUAGGGAACUGAAAAGGGACCGACCCUUCGGGGAGCUUAUACAGGUGUUGCAUGGCUGUCGUCAGCUCGUGUCGUGAGAUGUUCGGUUAAGUCCGCUAACGAGCGCAACCCUCGCCGUAUGUUACAAGUGUCAUACGGGACUGCCGGUAAAAAAGCCGGAGGAAGGUGAGGAUGAUGUCAAGUCAGCAUGACCUUUAUAUCCAGGGCUACACACACGCUACAAUGGUCUGUACAAUUGGUUGCCAAGCCGCGAGGCGGAGCCAAUCCGUAAAGUUGGUCUCAGUUCAGAUUGUAGGCUGCAACCCGCCUGCAUGAAGAUGGAGUUGCUAGUAACCGCAGGUCAGCUAUACUGCGGUGAAUACGUUCCCGGGGCUU